UCUCGCGAGAUUUCAGUGGCGCCCGUCCCUCCGGGUGACUUCUCCCUCCCUGUAGCGCUUCUUCUCGGGAUCCGCUAGCGGUGAGGUCCCUGUGCGGCUGCUGAGCGGCCGGCUGGAGGCGCUUGGCGGCUUCCGGCCAACCCACUCCUCUCCCGCGCGAGGGGGCAACCCCGGCCUCACCAGGAACAUCGAGCCCAAAUCAACCAGGAGUUACACUCAAAGUCUUCCCCGUCUUUCCACUCCACCCGAUUUCUCUUUUCCUUUUUCCACUCCUCCACUCUUUCCUACCGGAAACGCUACCCUUUCCUCCUACAGUUCCGCCCGCCAGUCCCUCAACUCUAGUCUUCCCUCGCGCCCCGGAGUGUGACGCUAAGAACCCCCUCCCCCUGUCUGCGGCCCCUCCCCCCGCACCCCAGGAGGCUGUUGGAGGGGAUGGGGUGGAGCCCGGGGAGGAAGAGAAAGGAAACCAAUCGGAUUGGAUAAGCAGCUGCCAUGGCAACUGGAGGCUGUGGUUGUAUUGUCAUAGUAACCAAUGUGUGCGGACUGGGUGACCCUCCCUUGGCGAAUGGAUUCCCGGGAAAGUGCCCAGGGUUCCCCCUUGGCUUCCCUUCCGUCUAAAGGCCUCCCCCAGGUUGGGAAUCCGGGUGAUCUACUGGGCGGUGAGGUUCAUUUCCUCUUCCCUUUCCCCUUCCCGCAGCAAUGAGGGGGGCCCCAAGGCAUUCACCGUGGGCUUUUCCACCCGCCUGCGGGCUGGAACCACCUCCAGUUUCCUCUCAGUGCCGGGCGUGGAGAGGGCCGGGCCUGCGAGAAAGACGCCGGGCCUGAAGGCUAGCGAGCUGCGGGCUGGAACGAGGAGGGCGAGGCGGCGGCGCAAAGCUUCGGGCGGGCGAGGGGUUUCCCCAGGACUGCCUCCGGCUCAGAGAGGCGGGAUCCCGCCAGGACGGGGUCCCUAAGGGAGGAGAACGGCACACGACGACCCAGAUUCCUCUCCUGCCGGGCAGGGACCUCCUUAGACUUUUCCUGGUUCUGUCCAGGUUACUGUGGAUAUCAUGGUAAAAGAGGCAUUGUCCCUAUCUUGGAGAAACCCACCUUCUGGUAGAGAUACCAGAGAAUGGAGAAGUGAUAAGAAUGCAAGAUGAUGGGUACAGUAAUUAAGGGAGUCACGGAGCCUGAAAAACAAUCAGGAAGACUUGCAGUCCAAGACCCUAGAGAAAAAACUUGUGGUUUUGGAGGCACUGAGGUACCAGAGAAUGGUAGUCAGAGUGCAUUCUCCUUCUCCAUUCUCCUAAUAUUGACUUAGGGGAAACUUAUUAAUCUUCAAGAAUUUCUCCCAAUUCCCAAUUAGAAAAUACCUCUGGGAAAGAACCACACCUUAAAAUCUUAUCUGCUAAUUUAAUGGACACCAACCAUCUGGAGAAGACAAGGAGAAAUUCUCCUAGGGAAAAUUGAAGAGUAUUAAAAAAGAAAACUGAAGUUAGCCUCUUUAGUCUCUUAUACUCUAUAUUGUCCAAAAGCUAUAGUGUUCAUGGAUGUCUUUACUACUACAAGCACAGUACUUCAGAAGCCAUCCUGGUAUCCCUA